GUGCUCACUUCAGCAGCACAUAUACUAAAAUUGGAACGAUACAAAGAUUAGCAUGGUCCCAGAGCAAGGAUGACACACAAAUUCAUGAAGUGUUGCAUAUUUUU
ensembl:snRNA U6 U6 spliceosomal RNA